rnacentral:rRNA from 1 species
UACGUAGGGUGCGAGCGUUGUCCGGAAUCAUUGGGCGUAAAGAGCGUGUAGGCGGUCCGGUCAGUCGGUUGUGAAAGUCAAGGGCUCAACCCUUGAAUGCCGGCCGAUACUGCCGGGCUAGAGUCCGGAAGAGGUGAGUGGAAUUCCUGGUGUAGCGGUGAAAUGCGCAGAUAUCAGGAGGAACACCGAUGGCGAAGGCAGCUCACUGGGACGGUACUGACGCUGAGACGCGAAAGCGUGGGGAGCAAACAGG